rnacentral:rRNA from 1 species
ACGCUCGACACCUACGGGAGCAGCAGUGGGGAAUAUUGGGCAAUGGGCGCAAGCCUGACCCAGCAACGCCGCGUGAAGGAAGAAGGCCCUCGGGUUGUAAACUUCUUUUGACAGGGACGAAGAAAAUGACGGUACCUGUCGAAUAAGCCACGGCUAACUACGUGCCAGCAGCCGACGGUAAUCUGAGGCGGGCUGGCAAGGC